CCAGCAAAUCCGCCGCAUUAUUCCUGAUUUGUGCGUUUCGCGUUUAAUUCUUUUUCGUUCUCCGAGCGUGCAAUAUGCGACCGCGCGCUGCUUAUAAUAAUACACUCAAUAACGUCAUCUGUCCACUUUGUCACCAGAGUGGUAAGCCCGUAACUCCGCACGCCGCCGGUGCGCGAGUGUUCGCUCGCCGUGUCUGCGGUGGGUCCCUUCGCCGUUCCUUCAUUCCUUCGGCUCGCCGGUGUCUCGGUGUCAUAUUAUAGGAGACAACGAACGUGUAUUAAACCAAACACCGAAAAUUUAAGACCCGAAAAAAGCUUCUGUUUGCUGCGCCAGCGUGAAUGCCACACGAAGUUCGAUGGAGCGUUUUGUGGUCCCUUUGUCAUCCCUUCAACGCUCAUAUUUCACGUGACAAUAAUGCUGUAUUUUGACUGCGGUUUCACCACACACCAACAACACCAUUUGAAAGAUUUAGAAGAAAAAAUCAGCGCCGGCCUGCUGGAGAUGAUUAGCAGUCACGACGGACAAUCAGGAUAACCACCGGGUUUGCGAAUGGUUAAAAGACCGUAAUCUUUGUGGGCAAUGAUCAUCGCGACGCGCCAACCACUUCAAACGCACUGCAUUGCUUUGCAAACAAUUCCAGCGGAUUACUUAACGUUACAAGGUGUGUUUUCAAUUUUCAACGAAGAGAGACAAUUUAAAUAGUUCCUGGUAUCGAUAGCUCUUUAUAGCUGAAUACGCCGAUUCAAAUGUCAGUAGUUUGCAAUUAUUCAAUUAUCUCAAUCAUUAAAUUGAGUCUAUAAAUUGCGAUUAAUUAACAAGCAUGCCGCAGUAUAACAACGCCAGCACUCGCCUGCAAUUAUUUAUCGUUUUGUUUGUGCGAUAAACAACGAAAAGCGUGCAUAAGUAGGUACGCACAUAAUGAAUUAUUCCCUAUACAGCUAACAAGAAAAAUUAAUGGAAUAAAUCAAUACCUAGGUACUGUAUUAAACGAUUCAAGUGUGUAACUAGAGAAUGUUGCGCUUUUAAUUUAAUUAAUUGAUUAAAUGAAAUUUCGACGCAGCCAGCAAUUUGACUAAGCACUCCGCGGAUGGUCAUUAAGCUUGUGAGCUACGAGGCAAAACAUUUCGAAAGAUUUAUGCCCUUUAUUACCACCCUAAAACAUCCUUAAUUGGAAGACAACGACAACGCGCGCCGCCUGAAAUUCCAGGUUAAUUAGUCGUUUUGCCAUCCCUUUUAGACGCAAAGAAGAAAAUUUCCUAAACUCGAAAUAUUUUCGACUCAUUUUAAGAAAACAAAUAAAAUUUCUUGAUGCUUUAAGCCGGUUUUUUUUAUUUUAUUUAUCAUGUUUUACAAAUUUGAUUAAGGGAUGAUUUAAGAUCGCUAUCGGUCGUAAACUCACACGUUUAGCUGUGUUUUCAAACCGGCUGCAAUCCCGCAUGAUUGCGAGGAUUUAGGUACUAAGACCCGACUCGAAUCGCCUCGUGUGUGUUAUUUAUGUAUGCGUUUAUGAAUGAGGAAUGAACGAAGGAUGUGCGCGUACACACACACAAUGUGCGAUUGGUUACGAGUUACGAGGCUGCGACAUCUAUAAUGGUUUUCCAACCAAAACUCGUCCGCGCACACCGGGCUUAAAUAUUUAUCGUCCGCCCUGAACGCCACGUUUUGUUGAUUUGUUACGUAACAAUGAAUCAAAAGCCCUUUUGUCCUUUAUUUAUUCACGUACAUGUUCCUUCUCUUCUUAUACAGUAUGUUAAAAAAUAUUUUUUUUGUUUAUCAAAGUUUAGAUUAUAGAAUUAUUUGAUUGUUGGUUAUGUAAUUUACGAUAAUGUUUAUUUUUAUUGUAAACGAUAGUCAAUUGUUACGUC